CAGAGAAUAGUUAAUAUAUAAUAGUAAGUUUGGAACUUGCAGAUGAGCGAAUCUUUUCUGA
rnacentral:tRNA from 1 species